rnacentral:rRNA from 1 species
UUCCUACGGGGGGCAGCAGUGGGGGAUAUUGCACAAUGGGGGAAACCCUGAUGCAGCGACGCCGCGUGAGUGAAGAAGUAUUUCGGUACGUAAAGCUCUAUCAGCAGGGAAGAAUAAUGACGGUACCUGGCUAAGAAGCCCCGGCUAACUACGUGCCAGCAGCCGCGGUAAUACGUAGGGGGCAAGCGUUAUCCGGAUUUACUGGGUGUAAAGGGAGCGCAGACGGCAGUGCAAGUCUGGAGUGAAAGCCCGGGGCUCAACCCCGGGACUGCUUUGGAAACUGCAUAGCUGGAGUGCUGGAGAGG